rnacentral:rRNA from 1 species
GAUGAACGCUAGCGGCAGGCCUAACACAUGCAAGUCGAGGGGUAGCAGGAUUAAGCUUGCUUAAUUGCUGACGACCGGCGCACGGGUGCGUAACGCGUAUGCAACCUACCUUAUACUGGGGUAUAGCCCGGAGAAAUUCGGAUUAAUCCCCCAUAGUACUAAUGAAUCGCAUGGUUUAUUAGUCAAAGCAUUGCGGUAUAAGAUGGGCAUGCGUCCUAUUAGCUAGAUGGUGAGGGAACGGCUCACCAUGGCUACGAUAGGUAGGGGGCCUGAGAGGGUGGUCCCCCACACUGGUACUGAGACACGGACCAGACUCCUACGGGAGGCAGCAGUGAGGAAUAUUGGUCAAUGGGCGCAAGCCUGAACCAGCCAUGCCGCGUGCAGGAAGAAUGCCCUAUGGGUUGUAAACUGCUUUUAUUUGGGAAUAAACCUCUUUACGUGUAGAGAGCUGAAGGUACCAAAUGAAUAAGCACCGGCUAACUCCGUGCCAGCCGCCGCAGUAA